rnacentral:tRNA from 1 species
UUCUUAGUGGUGUAACGGAUAGCACACUCGUAUUCGAGAGGUCCAGGUUCGAGUCCCGGCGAGGAAA